UCAGAGGGCCCAUUCUUCUGGUCACACGAUACGGACCUUUCCAGCGUGGUGCAAGUUUGGCAGCAUACGAUUUGUCAGCUUUUGAAAGAGGGGUUACACAGCUGGGGCAUGAGCUCAGCAUCCAGGGGGCCCUUCAAAGGUCGACCAAGGUUGAGCUCUGCUGGUGUAACUCCAAUGGACUCGUGCACAGCUGAAUUUAGAGCAAAGCGGAACUCAGGUUUGUUUGUGGAUGGUAGGAUGAAGUCCUCUUCUGCCUGAGGUUCCAGCGGCUGCAUGUUUCCUCAAAGACGGCUGAAACGAACUGAGAUCCUCUGUCCGAGAGUAUUCAACGAAGACCAGGAGAUAUACGUUGCCAUUUGAGCUUCGGGGGAAGGGUCCCAUGAGGUCGACUCCCAACAUCUCCCACGGUUUUUGUACCACUGUCUGUUGGAGUUUUCCAGGUGGCUUCCGGGUCUCAGGUUUGUAGAGCUGACAAACUUGGCAACAUUGUACAUAAUUUUUUACCUCCAGGCUCAUUUUAGGCCAAUAUACCAAAGCUUGUAGCCUCUUAUAGGUCUUGUAUCUUCCAAAAUGGCCAGAGAGAGGGUCGUCGUGAUAGUGAGCGAGUAACUGAGGACGGAGUGAAGUGGGGAUGUAUAUUUGAUACAGGGUUUUAUGAGGUAAUUUCACCACUCUGUAGACCUUAUCUUCUAGAACUGUGAACUUCACAGCCAAAUCUUCAGUUAAUUCUCCUGUUUCCAUGAUUUUAUUGUACAGGUGCCGGACAUCAGAGUCCUCCUGCUGGGCUUUCCAAAUGUCUUCGUCGGUAAUCUGAAGGUGUUUAGAGGUAUUUCUUUUUGAGCGUAGCACUGCAGCACACGUGGCAUGGGGGUGUUGAUCAUCCACAGGAGCUCUCGAUAAAGCAUCAGGCACGGUGUUAUAUUUCCCUUUGCGAUAUUCCACUGUGAAGGAGAACUCCUGAAGGCGAAGUGCCCAUCGGAUGAGCCGAGUGCUUGGCUUUUGGGUUUUGAAAACCCAGACAAGAGAUGAAUGGUCAGUAACUACUGAGAAAUGUCUUCCUUCCAAAUAAUAUCUCCAUUUUUCCAGGGCCCAGACAACAGCAAGACAUUCCUGCUCUGUGGUUGAAUAAUUUCGCUCUGCUUGGUUCAAGGUGCGGCUGGCAAAGGCAAGAACCUGUUCGGUACCCAGACCAGUCUGUUGAGCCAAGACAGCUCCAAGACCAACAUCGCUGGCAUCUGUGUACACAGUGAAAGGCAGAUUGAAAUCCGGAUGUCCGAGGAUUGGAGGGCAUUCAGUGGUUCAGAGACCUGGGAAAACCGGGGCACAAAACGGUGGUACCAUCCUGUCAUCCCCAAAAACCUUUGCAGUUCUUUGAUGGUUUGUGGGACAGGGAAAUCUUGUACUGCCUUGGUCUUCUCACUAUCCACUGCUAUCCCAGCAGAGGAUACAAUGUGGCCCAGAAACUUCAGGGAGGUUCGAAAAAACUGGCUCUUCUUCAUAUUUACUGUCAGGUUAGCAGCUCGUAGUCUGUCAAGCACUU